AUGUGGAUGUUGAAAGCGAUAGUGAAGGAGAUAGUGGAAGUGAUAGUGACGAAUGUAUUGAAAGUGACAAUGGAUUGUAUGAAAAAGAGUAUAAUGACAUAUGUGGAUUUAGUGGGGGAGAAUAUGAUAAAGAUGAUGAUUUUAUUUAUGAAGAUAAAGAUAGAUCUUAUUCGGAUGAACAGGAAACAUAUGAAGACGAAAGAAACGAAAGAAACGAAAGAAACGAAAGAAACGAAAGAAGCGAAAGAAACGAAAGAAGCGAAAGAAACGAAAGAAGGUUUUAUAAAAAAAGGUUUUCAAAAAAAAGUAAAAAGAAAAAUAAGUAACAUCAAUACUCAGUCUAGUGGUGCGAUUGGUAGUGUUACCAUGCAUAGUACUAAUUUUGUAAAUGAUUUAUUUUCAAAAAGAUUACAAACUUUUAUAGAACCUGAUGAAAAUGUAAUAACAACUAUAACAAAUAAUGAUUAUGUAGUUAAAUAUUCAGAUAUUCCUGAAAGAUAUCAUAAUACACUUUAUAAAAACAGAGCAGAAAAAUUAAAUAAAAAAUUAUUAUUAAUAGAAGCAAAAUGGAUAAUAAAUAAAUUAAAAGAAAAAUAUAUAAAUUAUUUUAGUUAUAACAAUUUUGAACAGAUAAUACAAAAAUGUUAUGAUCAUACAUACAAUGAUUUAAAUAUUAACGAUUUUUUGAAUGAUCAAUUUUUAAUUAAAAAAUGUAUACUUACAUUAAAUAUGAUAAUUAAACAUAAAUAUGAAAUACCAUAUAUAUAUUUUCAUAAAUCAUAUUUAAUUUUUCCUCCAUUUAAUUUAAAUAUUUUAUGGGAUAUAUACGAAUUAGAUCAAGUAUGGUAUAAAACUUACCUGAAGUUAAAAAAAUUAAAAAAACAAAUCCUAAUUUUGAACAAAAGUAAAAACAUUGAUUCGAGUAUUUUUACUAUACUUAACAUGUAUAAUGAUAUUUAUUAUGAGGAUAUUAAUAUAUAUUAUUGUUAUUUGAAAAAUGGAUUGUUACAAUUGCCCGAUAGACAUGGUAGGCAAAAGUAUAUACAUAGUGACACUUUCAAUAAUAAUAAUAAUAAUAAUAAUAAUAAUAAUAGUAAAAAUUAUAAGACCUCUAUUUUAACAAGACCUUAUGAAACAAAUGCAAAAAAUGAAAACAAUGUAUUAAUGGAUGAUGAGUAUGAUCAUGAUAGUAAUGCUAAAAAUGGUGUUAUAAAAAGCGGAAACAAAAAUGAUAAAAACGGGUAUAACAGAAACGUAUUGAACAAUGAACAAAAUAAUGAUAGUAGUAGUUAUAUCAAAAAUAAUAACAACCAUGAUAAUGAUUAUUAUUCGAAGGAGGAUGACUUGUUUGGAGAUUCCAUGCUCGAAGAAAACAAAAAAGAGGAUAGUCAGGAUGGUCAACAAGAACAUGCAUUAUUAUUGCGCGAUGAUACUAGUGAAAAUAACGAAUUAAAUAGCUACGAAUUAAAUAGUAAGAGUAAAAAAAAUAAUAACAACAUGAAUGUAAAAGAUAAUGAUAAAAGAAAAAGAAAAAAAAAGAAAAAAAAAAAGUACACAUGA
ensembl:lncRNA